CCCGAGCCCGCCCAGAGGGCCCAGCAGACGCCCUUGAGAGUGUCUCCUUGGGAUGUGCUCCCCUCUUACUUGCCCCCCCUUCCCCCUUCUCGGGUCCCGGUCCGCUGUGGGGAUGGAGAGACACUCAGAACUGGGAUGGGCGCUGUUGGCUGAGCGGAUCCACCUAUUGUGAGUGCGCGCCGAUUGGCUCGCAGCGCAGCGUACCGGGGUGGAACCAAUCAGGCAGCAGAGGCUGGGAGAUGAUGGGCGGCCGCCUCCUCACUGGAGGGAUUCCGGAGAAGCUGCAGUGUGGGGAUGCUCUAGACCGAGUCCUGCCCCCAGUGUCUUUCCAUCUCCUCCUCCUGCGGCGGCAGCGAAGGCAGCACCGAGCAGCACCGGCAACUUGGGGCUGCACCCGGGGCAAGCCCCCAGGGUGGUGCUCGGCUAAGAGGGGCCCCAGUGCCCCACGAGGCUGCCCCUCUCUAGCGGAGGCAGCAGCGAGAGUAGCGAGUGCUCCGCACAGGUCUCCGCGGGGAGAGGAAGAGAGCGCUGAGGACCGAAAGCCGGCACCACCUCCUGGUCCUCCCUCCAGGGGAAACAGGAAAACAAGAACUAGAAAGAGCUUGAACACCACCUGGACUCAGAUUGGAAGACUGUUCAUUUGCUGAAAAUUUCACAGAUACUGUCUGAUUAAGAAGUAAAAAAGAAUUCUGAAAGGAAACAAAGAACAAAAUACCCCAGAACUCCUAACAGAACAGUAAGUACUUUAAUAACAAUAAUUAUAAUAGAUCACCUAUAAAGUUAGAUCUUACAAAUGUCUUUUAUAGAAAUAUUCAGCUUUGUAUUUUCUUUCUAAGGUAAGAAAUUAGCAUAGUAAGCAAGUGCAGCCU
rnacentral:lncRNA from 1 species